rnacentral:lncRNA from 1 species
CGUGUAUAAAACUGAGGCCGCAGCGGGAGGUGGCAUCAGUCGCAGCACAGCACUCAGCCAGCAGCUAUGAAGGUCGUCGCUCUCCUGCUUGUGGUCUGCGCCUCCGUGGCCUGGGCGAAGCCCCUCUGCAUCGGAGGCAUCUGCAUUCCUAGCAGUCAGGCCACUGGAGGGGCUGCGGGCACCGUCACCAGUGGCACCAGCAAUACACCUGGUGGCACCAGCAAGAUUACGUCCGUCGGCUCCUCUGCAGAGGGAUCCGCCAGCGGGCCGUGUGCGAGCAGCACCAACCUCGCACAUGCAUCCAACAAGAACAAACAGGGACUGCUGGGCAAUGCGGAGUCAAGCGACACCGGAGCCGUCUCGAACCAGAACACCGGCUGCUAAAUGACUCAGUCGCAGUCAUCUCGGCAUGCGUCGCAAUGGCACAUGUGAAACGCUUGUUACGUCGACAGACGCUGUGAUAUCGCGCGUCGGUUGUGAUAUGGGAGCGAAAUGUGCAAUACAGGCUCAUCCCGACAUGAUUGAGCUCCAUUGUGUUGGCGCUGCAAGUGUCAGUUGAUAUUUCUCCGUGGAAGACGCACCACAAACCUCGUGCCAACUCCGAUAGUCAUUCAUAUCUUGGAGACGCAUCUCCAUCAUAUGUGAAAUCCAUUGAAAUGACUAAAAGUGGUUCGGAUCAUGCUUUAUCCUACAAUUGGCCAGAAGUACUGAAAUAAACAUGAACUUUUCAA